GUCAAAGAGAGAGAGAGAGGAAGAGAAAGGCAGGAGGUCAAAGAGAGAGGGAGGAAGAGGAGGUCAAAGAGAGAGAGGAAGAGGAAGGAAGAGGAGGUCAAAGAGAGAGAGAGAGAGAGAAAGAGGAAGGAAGAGGAGGUCAAAGAGAGAGAGAGAGAGGGAGAGAGAGGAAGAGAAAGGCAGAGGAGGUAAAAGAGAGAGAGAGAGGGAGGAAGAGGAGGUCAAAGAGAGAGAGGAAGAGGAAGGAAUAGGAGGUCAAAGAGAGAGAGGAAGAGGAAGGAAGAGGAGGUCAAAGAGAGAGAGGAAGAGGAAAGAAGAGGAGGUCAAAGAGAGAGAGGAAGAGGAGGGAAGAGGAGGUCAAAGAGAGAGAGGAAGAGGAGAUCAAAGAGAGAGAGGAAGAGGAAGGAAGAGGAGGUCAAAGAGAGAGAGGAAGAGGAAGAGGAAGGAAGAGGUCAAAGGGAGAGAGAGAGAGGAAGAGGAGGUCAAAGAGAGCGAGGAAGAGGAAGGAAGAGAAAGGCAGAGGAGGUCAAAGAGAGAGAGGAAGAGGAGGUCAAAGAGAGCUAGGAAGAGGAAGGCAGAGGAGGUCAAAGAGAGAGAGAGAGAGAGGAAGGCAGAGGAGGUCAAAGAGAGAGAGAGGGAGGAAGAGGAGGUCAAAGAGAGAGAGGAAGAGGAAGGAAGAGGAGGUCAAAGAGAGAGAGGAAGAGG
ensembl:lncRNA